UACGUAGGGCGCAAGCGUUGUCCGGAUUUACUGGGCGUAAAGUGUGCGCAGGCGGCCGAGCAAGUCGAGUGUGAAAGCCCCGAGCUUAACUUGGGAACUGCGCUCGAAACUACUUGGCUAGAGUGUGGCAGAGGGAGGUGGAAUUCCACGUGUAGCGGUGAAAUGCGUAGAGAUGUGGAGGAACACCGAUGGCGAAGGCAGCCUCCUGGGCCAACACUGACGCUCAUGCACGAAAGCGUGGGGAGCAAACAGG
rnacentral:rRNA from 1 species